rnacentral:rRNA from 1 species
CGAGUCCGAGUCUCCACGGAGACGAAGUGGCGGUCAUCCAGCUUCCUAGAAAAGCUCUAACCACGUUAAUCUUUAGUUGCCUGUACCCGAAACCGACACAGGUAGGGGGGUAGAGAAUACCAAGGGGCGCGAGAUAACUCUCUCUAAGGAACUCGGCAAAAUGACCCCGUAACUUCGGGAGAAGGGGUACCACUGAGAAGUGGUCGCAGUGAAGAGGCCCAGGCGACUGUUUACCAAAAACACAGGUCUCCGCCAAGUCGCAAGACGAAGUAUGGGGGCUGACGCCUGCCCAGUGCCGGAAGGUUAAGGAAGUGGGUUAGGGAUUCGUCCCGAAGCUGACGACUGAAGCCCCGGUGAACGGCGGCCGUAAUUAUAACGGUCCUAAGGUAGCGAAAUUCCUUGUCGGGUAAGUUCCGACCCGCACGAAAGGCGUAACGAUCUGGGCGCUGUCUCGGAGAGAGGCUCGGCGAAAUAGGAUUGUCUGUGAAGAUACGGACUACCUGCACCUGGACAGAAAGACCCUAUGAAGCUUUACUGUAGCUUGGAAUUGGGUUCGGGCUUGGUUCGCGCAGGAUAGGUGGGAGGCGAAGAAGAUUUGCUUGUGGGUGAAUCUGAGCCAACGGUGAGAUACCACUCUAACCAGGCUAGAAUUCUAACUUCAACCCGUCAACCGGGGGAAGGACAGUUUCAGGUGGGCAGUUUGACUGGGGCGGUCGCCUCCUAAAAGAUAACGGAGGCGCACAAAGGUUCCCUCAGGCUGGUUGGAAAUCAGCCAACGAGUGCAAAGGCAGAAGGGAGCUUGACUGCGAGACCUACAAGUCAAGCAGGGUGGAAACACGGUCCUAGUGAUCCGACGGCACCGAGUGGAAGGGCCGUCGCUCAACGGAUAAAAGUUACUCUAGGAUAACAGGCUGAUCUCCCCCAAGAGUUCACAUCGACGGGGAGGUUUGGCACCUCGAUGUCGGCUCAUCGCAACCUGGGGCGGAAGUACGUCCCAAGGGUUGGGCUGUUCGCCCAUUAAAGCGGUACGUGAGCUGGGUUCAGAACGUCGUGAGACAGUUCGGUCCAUAUCCGGUGUAGGCGCAAGAACAUUGAGAGGAGUCUUCCUUAGUACGAGAGGACCGGGAAGAACGCACCGCUGGUGUACCUGUUAUCGUGCCAACGGUAAACGCAGGGUAGCCAAGUGCGGAGUGGAUAACCGCUGAAAGCAUCUAAGUGGGAAGCCCACCUCAAGAUGAGUGUUCUCAUGGAGUAAUCCAGUAAGGUCACGGGAAGACGACCCGUUGAUAGGCGGUAGGUGGAAGUUCAGCAAUGGAUGAAGCCGAGCCGUACUAACAGACC